GCGGAUAUGGCGGAAUUGGCAGACGCGCCAGAUUUAGGUUCUGGUACUGUUAGUGUGGGGGUUCAAGUCCCCCUAUCCGCA
rnacentral:tRNA from 1 species